GGAAAAUCAACAACAACCACAGUAGAAGCCACAGAAACAGCAUCGCCAGCCAAGACGCAUUUCCGAAUGUAACAUAACUGAAAUAUUGAAUGAGUUUGAAUCGCUCGUUUGGCGGAUCAAUACAAUGAGAUACGAAAUUAAAAACAUUAUUAAUGAAUCAUCAAUGUCAAGAAAAGAAAAAAAAUUUUACGUUGCCCAACUUGAAGGACAAGUAUCGAUUUUGCGAGAACUAGGCCAAUGAUUUAAG